AUUCCCCUAGUAACUGCGAGUGAAGCGGGAAAAGCUCAAAUUUAAAAUCUGGUGGCCUUUGGCCAUCCGAGUUGUAAUUUAGAGAAGCGUCUUCCGCGCCGGACCGUGCACAAGUCUCCUGGAAUGGAGCGUCGUAGAGGGUGAGAAUCCCGUCUUUGGCACGGAUGACCGGGGCUUUUGUGAUGCGCUCUCGAAGAGUCGAGUUGUUUGGGAAUGCAGCUCAAAAUGGGUGGUGAACUCCAUCUAAAGCUAAAUAUUGGCGAGAGACCGAUAGCGAACAAGUACCGUGAGGGAAAGAUGAAAAGCACUUUGGAAAGAGAGUGAAACAGUACGUGAAAUUGUUGAAAGGGAAACGCUUGAAGUCAGUCGCGUUGGCCGAGACUCAGCCUUGCCUCGGCUCGGUGUACUUCUCGGCCGACGGGUCAGCAUCAAUUUUGCCCCUUGGAUAAUGGCGAGGGAAAUGUGACACCUUUAUAGGUGUGUUAUAGUCUCUCGUCGCAUGCGAGGGUCGGGAUUGAGGAACUCAGCACGCGCCUUUGGGCGUCGGGGUCUUGCCCACGAUACGUGCUUAGGAUGUUGGCGUAAUGGCUUUAAACGACCCGUCUUGAAACACGGACCAAGGAGUCUAACAUGCCCGCGAGUGUUCGGGUGGAAAACCCGUGCGCGCAAUGAAAGUGAAAGUUGGGACCUCCGUCGUGGAGGGCACCGACGCCCGGACCAGACCUUCUGUGACGGAUCUGCGGUGGAGCGUGUAUGUUAGGACCCGAAAGAUGGUGAACUAUGCCUGAAUAGGGUGAAGCCAGAGGAAACUCUGGUGGAGGCUCGUAGCGAUUCUGACGUGCAAAUCGAUCGUCAAAUUUGGGUAUAGGGGCGAAAGAC
rnacentral:rRNA from 1 species